CUUUGCCAGUUACAGUAAUAAUAUAACAAUUAGUCACUGAUAUGAUGAAACAUUACAGUAAUAUCGAUUAGAUACGUCAGAAGAAGUGACGUGUUAUCUUUUAGGUUUCCGAAGCUAAAAAUCCUUGCUGACUUGAAAGAAAUUUUGCUGAAAACUUUGUGAAAAUUUUACAAAAAAGAUCCAUCUCAGGCUCAAUUUAGUAAUGUCGACAGAAAUAGCACGUAUUGAUUCGUAUCGCGACGUUUUACGAGCUACUAAUGUUCGGAAAAUACCGCGAUAAUAAACCGAAUGUUUGAUAAAAAGGUACGUCAGAUGGUCUUUUAUCGCUGUUUUUUUCUUCGUUAGUCAUCGACAAGAUGCCUCUUUGUUCACAUCACAGAAAGAUAAUAUUCUUUUUUUUUUCAUUUCUUACCAGUUAAAAGUGUGUUUAAAUUCCAGGAUAUAUGGCAUCAUAAAGCAUAAAGCAUCAGGGAACGUUUUAUCUAAAGUAGGCUUCAGCGCCUUCUUUCACCCUAUUAUAUAUUUUUUUAUAACUCUUUUCCCCCACUUUCCGAGUUUCAUCUGUUCGUUCCAGAGGCUUUCUACAAAUGGCGAUUAACCUGUCGCGAAAACCGUUUUAACGGAUUUAUAAGUAAAGAAAGAAACCGUCAGAGCGCCAAAGAUGCAAAUACAAGCGGAUAUCGUGAUAUCAUAUUUUCCGUGACGUCACUUUCUGUCUCUCCGCGCGGCGAGCAACAUGACGCAUUGAUGCGCACGUGCGCACUAUUGGCCGUUUAAGGCAAAACAACGCACUUGGAUCGAGCAAAGGUCGCUGAUCGUCACGAAUACAUUCACCCUGUGCAUCCAUCGAGUUCAGCAGGAAGUACAUUAACCUCCGCACUUAUUUUCAUCCUUCAGUCUUUCUCCAAGCCCGGUAGAUUACGAGCGAAAAUGAAAAAUCCAAAAGCGAGGAUGCGGGAGAGGGAACAUCUUGCGACAAACAAAAGAGAUAGUUAAAUUAUUACUAUUGCAGGUAGACGAAA